rnacentral:rRNA from 1 species
UACGUAGGGGGCUAGCGUUGUCCGGAUUUAUUGGGCGUAAAGAGCGUGUAGGCGGCCAGAUAGGUCUGCUGUGAAAACUCGAGGCUCAACCUCGAGCUGUCGGCGGAAACCAUUUGGCUAGAGUCCGGAAGAGGAGAGUGGAAUUCCUGGUGUAGCGGUGAAAUGCGCAGAUAUCAGGAAGAACACCGAUGGCGAAGGCAGCUCUCUGGGACGGUACUGACGCUGAGACGCGAAAGCGUGGGGAGCGAACAGG